GUCCUGCUGCAGGGAUACAAGGAGGCAGGGGAUAAUGGCAACUAGUCCUAGAAGACUCUGGGUCCCCAAAGCUGGCUGAGACUGGUGAAAGCUUCGUUUAUUGUGACAGGGCCUUGGUUGGUGGGAGGAGGUCGAAAGUUGUCAUUAGCAGGAUCUGAAGCCACCUCUGCCCCUAACCCUCACGAGGCCUCAACCUCAGGGCCUUCUGGAUGGUGCUUUUCUCUGAGGAAGAUGAGAACUGCUAUAAGGAUUCAGGAAAACCCCUGAGGCCCAGGAUGUGGAGAACCGGGCGCCCCGUCCCUCACCGCCGAUUCCAUUCUUCCAUCCCAAGGAGGAGAGCCACUCGAAUGUCCUGAAAGACACAGGGACUCCGAGGACAGGAUGGGUCAGUCAAGCCAUAACAGAGCAUGGAGCCAGUCCCUUUGUUCACCCUGUCAUCUUCUAGGAACUAGGAAGCACCCUUCCCGGGUCCCUGCUCCAGUGGACUUCCCCAGUUCUUCCUUCCCAGCCUUUGCUGUGGCAUUAGCCAUCUGGAAAAAGAGCUGCUGGUAGGACCUGGGACUUUUGUUCACACCCAUAAGCCUUCCCUCCAGAUAUCCAGUACUUUGCCUUCAGGAAGGAGACUUGAACUUCAGGCAACAGGAGAAAACCAAACCUUCAAGGGCUUUGGUUCCCUCUAAGGCCAAGGUUCCCAAGAUCCUUGGUUAAGAGAUCUGGGCCACUGCCUUCCCUUCCUCACUCUUCUUUUCCCUGUUUGUCCCAGAGUUCUGCUAUAACCCCAAAGCUUUUCUGUUUACCAUCAACAUGGAAACUUGACUCUUCAUAUAGGUAUAUUUUCCCUCUUUUGUGCAUCAUCCUGUUCCCAAAAACUGCCUUUUCAUGAAGGAGGCUUGUGGGACUCAAGGGGCCUGGCCAGUCACCCAGGCUCCCCCAAAGCCUCAGACCACUGGUAAUGUGGAGAAGUUUAAUAAAGAUGUCAUUACUUCUUGACU